GCUACAAUUACAAUUUGUUUAAUGCCACAUUAGGAACAAAUAAUAAACUAUACAGUUAUUUAUAAUAAUUUAUUUUUAAGACAGACCAAGUAAUAGUUGGUUGCUGGUAAAUCUUAACAUUUUAUUUGUACAAGAGUAGAUAUACCAUUUCACAAAAAGUCCAACACUAUUAUGGAAAUAGUAACUGACCUCGGCAUAUAAAAUAAUGACUUUGUUAAUAAUGAUUUCUUCUUAUCAACUGUAUAUAAAGGUGAUUAGAAUCAAGUGGGAUUGUUGCAUCAGUGUUCUAAUCAGUUUUUAUUCACAGGAAACCUAAACAGGACAUUCCUUUAUCUAUUAAUUAUAUAUUUAUAUAGAGUAUUAACCAUUUAAAAAUUCUAUUUACAUAAUUAUUUUAUUAUAGAAAAAAUCAAAUAUCUUAAUAAAGGGAUUAUAAAGGCAAAACAUAUUUUGUAAUUAUAUUAACUUAAAAGUGUGUUCACAAAUUAUAAUCAGUUCAUAUAAAACACAUAAAGAUAAAUAAUACAUUACUAACAAAGUUUCAAUACCUAUUUGUGCUUUUUAGCAAGGUUAAUCUAAAUAUUCUCUAAUUAAUAAAGUACUAAUAU